GCGACGUCUGCGGAAGUCUUUUCGUCCUAGAGGAGCGAGCAGUGUGGUAGCCGGAGAGCAUGCCUUACCGGUCAGCUCCUCUCUGGCGGAGUCCCGUUGAAUAUGUCCUCCUCUCGGCGGGAUGAGGCUACAGUAUUAGGAGCCUUACAGUGAGGCCUGGAGUGCAGUUUGUGGUGUUUGCCUACAAUGUGUUCUUGCUGCGACAUGCAGUUUCUGGUCAAUCAUGUUCCUUGAUCUGGUGGUGUUGUUGUCCACAUAAUGACUUGAGAUAUUGGUCUCUGUAUUCCUACCUAGUACGUCAGAUGGACACUUCAUGGAAAUCAUUUUAUUGAUGACUAUGCUUCUGGAGCUGAUGUGUAGCUGUACCAACAUGGAGUUUUUAACAGUCCAAAACCUCAAAGAGCCUUACAGAGGCCUGGAGUGCAGUAUAUGAGAUUCCAUCGGAUUUUUAAAUUGCCCCUGAGCUAAUGAGUGGAGUCUAUCUGCUGUGUGUACUAUACACCGUAGGACUCUGAUCCCCCAUAUCCUCAGUGUACUCUGAGAAGCUGCAGCAUGGAAUACUGAACAGGCGAAGAUGUCAUUCAAGCACUGAGGUGUUCGUUCCUAAACUGUGUGAGCUGUCUGACAUGUAGGUCAUCUUCCUGUUGGGGUGCUGCUGUUAGUCACAAAAUGACUUGAGGUAAUUGUCUCUAUCCCUAGCUGGUUUGUCAGAUGGACACUUCCCAGUUGGCGCUUGUAUGACUGUUCUGAUGAUUAGUAAUGUUCAACUGCUCUGACUUGAGGUAUGAAAUAAUCAAGCAUAUAAACUUGGAGAUGGCCAUCCUGUUGAUUUGUAGCUGUACACCACACGGAGGUUUUAACAGUCCGAAGCCUCCAAGAGCCUUAGUGAGGCCUGGAGUGCAGUUUGAGAUCUUAGUCUCUUCUAUACCAGAGUAAAUGACUAUCAGUUGAAGAGAUGAUCUGACUCAUAUGGUAGUAUUCUCUUUAGAAGGCUUUCCGGGAAGGAAACAAAUUGUCUUAACAGUGAGAUACUAUGGGCACAACAUUCAUGUGCUGUGGUCUACUAUACAAAAGAUAGCAGAACAGCUUCAGACCCAGGAAGAUCAGCAUUAUUAAACCAUUUUUACUGUAACAAUAAGACCAUGUAAUGUACAACCUAUUCACCUUCACAAGAAUUUAAUAUCUUCAACCUAAUGGGCUUACAAUCAUAACUUGCUAUUUUGUGUGAAGGUAACUUUUCCUGGCCAUGUUACUGGAUUGUUAAAGCAAAUAGUGUAAAAAAAAUAAAGUUUUUUUUGCAGAAAAA